GGCUCGAAGGACCAAAAAAUGUGUGCGCCCUGAACAGGGACGACCCGAAGGACCACUCGGUGAUGCCCGAGCACAAUUUAUUAUAUUAAUGUUUGGCCAAUGUCCCCACUAACGUCGCAUAUGUCCCUGGGUAGGCAACUAUAUGGACUCGCGCCUGACAGUGAGACGGGUAGGCAAUUCUACGCACGUCGACAACAACGGCAGGGAAGGGAGUGACCUAACGAGGAAGGAGGAUGAUGCAAGUUAGUUAUGGGGAGGGUGUCUCUGUGGUCGAGUCGUUUGGUGCAAUGACCACAGAGCUCACAACAAAACAGGAUAAGACUUAACCACUAACUUAACCUACUGAAGUCUUGAGAAGGUGAUCUGGACGUCCUAGGCGGCCUCUCACACAACAGAUAUUAUGUUGCUGGCGGUCUUACGCUGCGGCACUGUCUUUGACGGAGACGUGGACGACGGUAGUGGAAAGAAUUUGGGUAAUAAAGUAGGUACUCACGAUUAAUUUGUUGUUACAGGUUUAUUUCUGACGGGUCGCCCAAUGCGCCCUCAUGAGUAUAAUUUAUUGUAGUAAUCCACGUAAGCAACGGGUGCGCACAAUGCGAUUUACUAAAAGACAAUAUAUAUAGGUAAACGCUUCAAUAGCGGAACAAUAGUAGACAUACGAAUACACAAAAACCGUAAAAGACGGGUGCGCACAAUGCGACUUAGUAAA